rnacentral:lncRNA from 1 species
CCUCAGCCCACAUAGUAUUUUUUAUAAUGAGAGGUCAUAUAAAAAGGAAUCAGCAACUGACCAGUUUCAUAUACAAUCAAUGAUUUAUUGUUUGCUUGGUAUAGAUAAUAAAGCUCUAUGCCACUGGAUGAGUAAACUGCACACGACAUGGCGCAUACCUUCCAGGAGUUUACAAAACUCAAGAAGAUCUUACUGUAACAUAAAAAUAGUCAAGCUAGUUGCCUCCCAUGUCAAUAUCCAGUUCAUUUUCUUUCUUACUUACAGAGUCCCGAGUUUGUUUGGGGUAGCAGUACACCUUGUUAAAAACUCACUUCCCCAGACUCCCUUGAAGUUAGUUGAGGCCAAGUGUCAGUGUCUGGCAGAGAAGAAAUACUAGAACUUUAUCGUGAGAUGUUUCUAAGAAAGCUAGUGUUUCUAUGACAAAAAGGAUUUACUCCAUCUACAUGCCUUUUGCCCGGCUCUUCCCAUUAUCCCUCCUGGAACAGGCAUCAUUUUAUCAUAAGGAAGAAAGUUCCAUACUAAGGAUGGUAGAGUAGGAGAGGGAAUAAUUCCCUGAGCAGCUGCUCAAGCCUUGGAAAGCCCAACUCCAGACUACCUGCUAUAUGAGAAGAUGUCCCCAUUGUCUAAACACUGAAGUCACAUGUCAGUUACAUGCAGGUGAAUAUAAUCAUAACAGUUUGAUAUCAUUUGGCUCUGUGUCGCCAACAGGGGUGAGACCUGGUUGGAGGUGAUUUAAUCAUGGGGGCGGUUACCCUCAUGCUGUUCUCGCGAUAGUGAGUGAGUUCUCAUGAGAGCUGAUGGUUUUAUAAGGGCUUCCCCCUUUGCUGGCACACAUUCUUCUCCUUCUUGUCAUCAUGUGAAGAAGGAUGUGUUUGUUUCCUCUUCUACCAUGAUUGCAAGUUUCCUGAGGUCUCCCCAGCCCUGUUGAACUGAGAGAGAAUAAACAGCAGCCACCUCCGUACAUUAAACAAUUCCUGGCAGCAGCACCUGUCCCCAGCCAUCCCAGCAAGAACACACACAGCCUGCCACCGGCAAAGGACACAGGGCAGACGUGCGGACUCAAGCUGUGUCCGGGUCGGCUGGUGGCUCACUCGCCAGACAGAGGGAAGGGCAACGGAGUUUCCAGUUGGGAACAGCUGAGGAGGAGGAUUGUGGACCAGCUGCUCCUACCCCAAGCUCCUGCAUUCUGGAAUGCUGAGCCCUUCAAAUAUGCUGUGCAAUGGUGCACGCGUGCACACACACGUGUGGACGCAGUUAUGCCUGCACAAACGCACGCUUCAGCGCAUUGCUACUGCACAGGCUCUAUGAAAAUAGCUGUUGUUUCCUAGUCGCCCCCAUUGCAGGCAUCACAAAAGAAACGAAAGGUCAUGUGGGAAGGGCAUAUUUUAGGGGACCAUGGCCAGUGAUAAGCUCUGUGUGUAUGGCACCGUCUAAUGAGCCUGAGAAGAGACACCACAGACUCACUGCCCUCACCAGGGGCAGCACUGCACAUUACAGAGGGGGUGAGGGGAGGGAACAGCAGAAUGUGAGCACCUAUCGCGUGCCAGGCAGUGUGCUGGGCAUUUCACAGCACCACCCUUGAAAAGAGCUGUUUUUGUGCAUGCUUUAUUGAAUAGAAACCUGAGGCGUAAAGAAUUCGAAUAACUUGUUCCCAGUCCCACAACUAGCGGAGCGUAAACUCACGCUCAGAUUCUGUCCAGCUCCAGAGCCUAGGCCAGCUACAACAUAGUGGGAUAUGCAGAGUCCAAGCUAAAUUGAUCGGUGCAGGGCAUGCUUUAGACUGGAGCAGAAAACAAAAGAUGGCCUGAGCUAGAAGGACCCUGGAGACCACCUGACUCACACUCCUCACCAUGCCCACGAGGGAGCUGAAGCCCAGAAGAUGAAGUGGCAAAGAGGACAAGUCACAGAUGGACGAGCCUCCUGGCCAGUGACCUGGCCCUCAUGCCCUCAGCCUCUACUGAUUAAGGCAGAAGAGUACCUAAUAUCAUAACAACACCUGGCUCUUGGGCCAGUCCAUUUAUUUUCUGAAAAUUAAGUUUGCCAUUUUGCCUAUGCUUCCCACCCUAGUGUGCCUGAAAAAACAAAUAAUGAUGGCUCCAGUUGCCUUUGGUUAUCUUAGGGAUGCUCUAACAGCUCAUGGGGACCGAGAAGAUGCUGGGCACAGAAGGACACAUCCACCUCCGUGGGGCAGAAGCGCCCUGUGACCCACUCUGAAGGGCAUGCCUCUGUGUGACAUCCUCACUCCCAUACACACAGGCCCCAGGCGCAGGGCACACACACAUGCUCCCUGGGGGAAAACAUGGGUGUCUCCACCCUACACCACAGCCCCGCCACAAACAGGAUGUGGAGACAGGAUGCAUUCAUGUCAGCACCAGGGGACGUGGCUUGACCUGGAUUUCCUAGCAAACUCACAGACCUCAUCAGCCCUUUUCACUGAAUCUGGUCUACUUCCAAAGGCGGACUGAUAAUUCCACAGCAUGAUUUUCUAAAUCACAAUAUUACGUAUGAGUUUCUUGGUAUUGUACCUUCAUCUGAAGGUAUUAUGUCGUCUGUUGUUUCUUUCUUCCUUUCUUUCUUUUAAGAGACUGGGUCUUGCUGUGUUGCCCAGGCUAGUCCCAAACUCCUGAGCUCAAGCAAUCUUCCUGCCUCAGCCUCCCGAGUAGCUAGGACUACAGGCGCAUCUCACCGUGCUCAGCAGUUGUUUCUAUUUUAGAAGAGGAAAAUCUAGGGAGACUUGAACCAGACUAUGAAAUAGAAUCCGGUAAGAAAAGGGGGGCAACCCUUAGAAAAAGAUUUGGCAAUUUAUGGAAGCUACUAUGUCAAAUGUUUAUUUAGAGGUGUCUUUAUAAUGUUGAUAUUUACAAGCCGAAAGCACUUUUUAUUCACACCGUCAGUCUGGGGAGACACUGACACAUGUUGGGUCACGAGUAAGCCCAAGGUAGCUUCUCUGAAAUUCCAGUCCUGGGAACAAUCCAUUUGUAGCCCUAUUUCAAAUAACUAGGGGCAUUCAGUGAAUUCAAUGCAAGUACUAAAUGAGCACUUGCUCUGUGCAAACCAUUAUUCUGGACACUGAAGAAAAUCAGAAGAGUGAGCUCUCAGCCUCAGGGCUCAUGACUAUGUUGGUUCUUCUGGGAUUAGGGAAGUAUACAAGUGGCUCAAGCCACAGGCAAAGGCAUGAAUGUGGGCCAGACAAGAUAGAUAACAGACAAGAUUAUCAAGCACUUACUAUGCUCUUGAUGGCUAAGUGAGGUAAGCACUAUAAUGAUCAUCUUCAUUUGAUAAUUGUGGAAACUACAGAUAGAAAGGUCAAGUGGCUUGCCCAAGAGUUACAGAGCUGGUAAGGAAGACAACCUGGAUUUGAACCCAGAGAGUCUGGUAUCAGGUAGGGCAUCUUAAUUCCAAGGCUAUAAUGACACUCAGAAUGGAUUGAGAUGUUUGCCUCUAGCUCUGGAAAUUUAGGCAAGCUAAUGAGUCUCAAAUAUAAUAUAUACCUCAAUGAGUUUAUACAAAAAAAAAAAAAAGAUAACAUAUAAUAAGAGAUUCACACAGUACCCAGUACAUAGACAUCACCCGAGAAGCCACGUUAUGAUGAUGUUAACAACAAUGAUGAUAUGAUACGUGUUAAAGUACAUUAAGAGACAUCAGAUCCAUGGAAAAUGCUACUAGAGUCCAAGGAGAGGAGAGGAUACAGACAGUUAAGAGACUGAGAAAGUACUCAGUGAGAAGCAGUCCUUCAAAUAGGACUUGAAGGAAGGAAAUGCUUCCAAUGCAUGAAAUUCAGACAGCCAAGGGGGCAUUUGGGUAAUCGUAAUAUCCAGUUGGGCUGGAAUUGGGGUUAUAUGGAGGUAUGAGGUUAUUGCUGGGGAGACUGAGCAAUAAAGAAGGGCUAGGGAUAUAUGUAGGGGCCACUGAUUACCAAGGUGAAAACCUAGACAGGUCCUAAUUUAUAGAUGUCACUGGGGAGAGCUGAGCAUCCCCUCAAUGAGAUGUGGCCUGAGUGUAUUUUCGGGAGAUAAAUCCAAAAGCAAUUUCUUGAAUGCUCUUUAGUUCACGGAAAGAGCAUUAAGGGUCUCACUUGGAACAAUAAAGAUUAAAAAUAAACAGAGAGUGCUAUAGUUUGGGUAUGGUCUUUCUGUCCCCACUGAAACUCAUGAUGAAAUUUGAUUUCCAG